rnacentral:misc_RNA from 1 species
AAAAAUCCCCUCAAAAAGCCGAUCAGCUAAGAACCUUUUGCAUGUAUCACAGUAUAGCUGCUGAAUUGUGUUCUCAGAAAGCCAAUUGUUCUCUAACAAUAAUUUAAAAAUUGCUUGGCAAACUUCGGUCUGCUGUGGAGUUGAUGUUCGUCCAAAUUCAUCAAAACUUAUAUUAAACCAUUUAUAAACUUCCCUAUGAAUUGCAUGGUACUUGUCACAAAUCUCUUUUGGGGUGCAAUUCUCCUCCAUGGCCUUGGUCUCUGUUGCUGUUCCAUACUCAUCAGUCCCACAUAUGUAUGAGGCAUUGUAGCCUCGAAGCCGGCAAUAUCGAGCAAAAACAUCAGCGCUUAAAACAGAGCCGAUGAUAUUGCCAAGGUGAGGGACGUUAUUGACAUAAGGCAAGGCGCUAGUGAUAAGUAUGUUUCUCUUGCCAGGGAUCGGGAGCUUCGGGGCCGUCUGACCCUCACCGGAGCUAUUACUGGAUGAGAGAUCUCCCAUGCCUCCGGUAGGGUUCUACAGCUCAAGUUCAAAGACUAGACGUUCACUGUUUGCUUGGAGUUGUUUCAGGCCGAGAGGCUAGAGAAUGAGAAGAGAGGCGCUUCAAUUUUAGGCUUAGUAGGGUUAAAGUCAUUUCCCUCUUU